rnacentral:rRNA from 1 species
AUUGAACGCUGGCGGCAUGCCUUACACAUGCAAGUCGAACGGCAGCACGGGUGCUUGCACCUGGUGGCGAGUGGCGAACGGGUGAGUAAUACAUCGGAACAUGUCCUGUAGUGGGGGAUAGCCCGGCGAAAGCCGGUUUAAUACCGCAUACGAUCUACGGAUGAAAGCGGGGGACCUUCGGGCCUCGCGCUAUAGGGUUGGCCGAUGGCUGAUUAGCUAGUUGGUGGGGUAAAGGCCUACCAAGGCGACGAUCAGUAGCUGGUCUGAGAGGACGACCAGCCACACUGGGACUGAGACACGGCCCAGACUCCUACGGGAGGCAGCAGUGGGGAAUUUUGGACAAUGGGCGAAAGCCUGAUCCAGCAAUGCCGCGUGUGUGAAGAAGGCCUUCGGGUUGUAAAGCACUUUUGUCCGGAAAGAAAUCCUUGGCCCUAAUACGGUCGGGGGAUGACGGUACCGGAAGAAUAAGCACCGGCUAACUACGUG